CUCUAUAGUCUCUCUUUCCUCUAUGUAUCUUGUCUCUAUAUCACCGUCUCCAUCCAAUCUACCCCCUUUCUAUAUUUCGACAUCGAGCUGUCUGUGAAGCUGUCGAUAGAGUACUAGCCACCACUGCCAAAGGCCAUUCCCGUUGGAGCCAUGCGAUUCUCAAGAACUAGCGUAAGCUAAGUUUGCUUUCUCGGUUGAUUGGUUCUGGUUGUCAGAAAGAGUUUUGUUAGAAUUUUAGUUGU
rnacentral:lncRNA from 1 species